AAAAUUGACUUAUUCAUAAAAUGUGUUGCGAUUACACCAUCACUAUAACUAAUCGGUUGUUGCUCAAAAUUUGUAUUUCCCCAAUUCAAUUUUGAGUAGUUUUGGGUUGCCAAUAUACAUAAACGAACUAAAUGUCGAUUAUUCAUGCUCUGUAUAAAAAGUUUGCUGUUAUUGGAAAGCUUAGGGCGGGGAUGUCAAAGCAAAACAAUUUUUAGACACGCAUAGUGUGUCACGAUGACUUCAAUUUUUCAUCUUUUUUACGUCGAAAUCAUCAUAAAUAGCUUACAAAAGUUAUUUCAGGAAUAUUGUCCACACCGUUGUUUCCCAUAAUCGACCUUUACCGCACCCGGAAGAGGCCAUCAAGAGUAAUCAAAGCUUCGAAAAUGGACAGUUGCGCGAUGACUCGGGAAAGUUGAUAGAGUGCAUCGGGAGGUCCGAGUUUUUUUUUAAUUAUUGCGGACCACAGCGGUACGUUCUUUUUUUUUCUUCAAAAAUUGUAUGUAACUGAAUUUUCUAUAGGGAAAUUAUAAUGGGUAACCUAAAUUUGUCUAUUUAAGUACCUCACAAUGAGCGCAGAAAGUCUCCGAAUAGGAAGAAGGGAACCAAAAGAGAUGUGCUUAUCAUCUAAUCGGAGCAGCCACCACUAAAGCACUUGGAAACGGAUCCCGCAGAAAAUCCCUUACAGCGACGGGAACCAUCAUCUGGGUGACAGUUUUCUGGAGGGUCAAAACAAAAAAAUAUCAACUGGCAUGAUGAAACAGGUGGCUGCAUCGAACGGAAGCAAAUCCGUACCGAAAGCUGGAGACUGACGAGCUCCAGAACAGAACCGAGCCGGCUUAGAAAUAACCCCUUAAAGAUGAUUAUCUUCGGCAACGAUCGGCCCCAAGGAACUGCAACUGACAACCAAAGAAAAGGAAGCCUUUUAAUAUCGCCCGUCAGGCAGACACCGCAAUGUUAUUGAUUUGUGAUUAAAUCGUUCCAAUUAUUACCUUGAACGAUAUGAAUAAAAAGUUAAAUGUUGAUAAGAUUUUAUUUUUUUGAAGAAAUUCCUUCCAACUCUACUUUUGCAGCGUAAUUUCCAAAAUGCAUGGGCAUCCCCAUGUCAAAAUAUACAGAAUUGACUAACUGGCUGGAAGCUUUCGAAUG